rnacentral:rRNA from 2 species
UUUAUCGGAGAGUUUGAUCCUGGCUCAGGACGAACGCUGGCGGCGUGCCUAAUACAUGCAAGUCGAGCGGACAGAUGGGAGCUUGCUCCCUGAUGUUAGCGGCGGACGGGUGAGUAACACGUGGGUAACCUGCCUGUAAGACUGGGAUAACUCCGGGAAACCGGGGCUAAUACCGGAUGGUUGUUUGAACCGCAUGGUUCAAACAUAAAAGGUGGCUUC